GAGUUAAUCUGCAUUUUUUAACAGACUCCAGAACCAUCUACGUGUGUACCAGUAUUCCAAAUACUUCAGCUCCUCAAACCCUCUAAACCAAAGUCAUAGGCUGCCUCUGGAGUCCAGAUGUGAGGAGACUCGUCACAUUCAAGGACUUUCCAGUGAUGGUAAUGCCCCCAUGGAGUCCUGGAACAUCAAACAUGAUGAAGAUCACAGUCCGAUGGUGUGCUGUCUUUCAACAUGGUCAUCCUAAUCAAAAGAUCUUGGAAACAUCCUCUUGAGGAGAAGUCUCAGGCAGAGUUCUUCGGCCACAGCAGAGGCAUGCCGUUUCCCUUCCCACUGAUGACUACAGUCAACAUACUGUCUGAACUCCAGACUCGUGUCCUCAACUGUUCACCAGACAUUUCCACCUGUGUGUCCUGCACACUCUUCAAAUCCAUCUGUCAACAUGGUGGAGUCCGUCUCUGCAAGGCAGGAGAAGAUGAAGAGGAUGGGAUGGGCAAUGGUUUAGUCAGCUUCUUCACUGCUGUGACCAAAAGACCCAACCAGAAGAUAAAAAGUUUUAUCUGGGGCUUCACAGUUUCAGAGGUCUCAGUCCAGGCAGCUGGCUGUGUUCCUCAGGGCUCAAGAUAACAUUAAGGUAGAAGAGUGUGACCGAUGGUAGUGUCUCAAGAGAUCACACUGAGAAGCAGAAAGAGACUUAGCUUGGGUCCCCAAGGACCCACCUCCUCUAGCCACACCCUCCCUGUCUAUUGUUAUCACUGAGUUAACCCCUAUCAGGGGAUUAAUUCACUAAUUAUGUUAAACCUUUAUAACCCAACAUUUCACCUCUAAACCCUCUCGCAUGGUUUCACAUGUGAAUUUUUGGGAAACACCACAUAUCUAAAUCAUAACAGGCAAUCAGGAGGCUCAGGCUAAAGGAUCUUCUCUGUGAAUUAGCUCCUCUGGGGCCCAGGUAAAUCCAGUAGUCAUGUGGGCAGACGGUACCACCACCAUGUCUGUGCUCCCUAAAGGAGAAGUUGAGAUACAUACAAUUAGAAGUAUUGGUAUCUGCAUGCUAAUAAACUAUGAUACAUAUCACUAUGGUUUGAAUGUGUCCCCCAGAUUUCAAGGGUUGAAAACUUAAUCUCAAAUUCAUAUGUUCUUAGAAUUCAAGCCUUUGCAAGGUAAUUAGGUUUAGAUGAAGACACAAUGGUGGGGCCUCCAUCAUGGUACUAAUGACCUUAUAAGAAGAAGAAAGGAAAACUGAGCUCUCAUGCUACUCUUCCUUGCUGUGAGAUGCCUUCUGCCAUGUUAUGAUACAGUAAGAAGGGUAGUGAUUAGAUACUGGCACCAUGCUCUUGGACUCCCCAGCCUCCAGAACCAUCAGAUAAAUAAACCUCCAUUCUUUAUAAAU
rnacentral:lncRNA from 1 species